UCCACAGCAUGCCCUAGUGGUGCAAUGCUUAAACUUCCAUUAGUGGUGAACUGCGAUGAGUUACCAGUAGAAGGUAAUUCACUGGUUUGGUGGAAUUAGUAAUUACAAGGACUACUCUGGGGAAACUAGUAAUUAUAAGGACAAUGCAUGGAUCUUGCUGGUCGCCAUCAAUGCACUGAAGAAAGACAAAGGAAAUCUGAGGGUGAUUAAUCACCAAUUUAAGACAAACUAUAAAUGCCACCUUGACAGUAUUCUUUAUAUCGAUAGCAUCAUAUUAAAUGAAUCAGACAAACAAGAAAUGAGAAGAGCAUCUCUCUCAGAGGAGGCACUGAACAGCCAAAUACACAGAAGAACUUGUUCGGUUGACAUCCUUCCAUCAGCUUCUGCUAUUGGCCACCUGGAUGCUGGUAAAAUGGGCAGAGAGGUAUAUCAGCCACAACUGUAAACUGGAGAGAACAAGAGCCUCCUAUCCUCUAGGAUUGCUGAAAAAGGAUAUAGUCUCUAAUCUGACUUUCAUCAGUAAUGAAGAUCGUUUUUAUUUUUAAAUUUGAUCUGCCUACUAUGUCUAGUGCUCCUUUGAUUCCAAACUCAAAUAGGAACAACACCAAAAAACAGUAUGAGUUACUGUCCACUCCCUAAACCUGCAACACUAACAGAAGAGUGCUAUUUCCUCCAAUAACUGUUCACUUCCUUCCUAUGACACGUAAGAUACCUAUGAGCAACCCAGAAGGGGGCUACAAUAGAGAUACUGUUAGGGCUGAUUAUGUAUGAUUCUCGAAGCGCUAGCUUGACCUCUACCUUAAAUAAAACGUAAAGAUAUA
rnacentral:lncRNA from 1 species